rnacentral:rRNA from 1 species
CAUCCUACGGGAGGCAGCAGUGGGGAAUAUUGCACAAUGGGGGAAACCCUGAUGCAGCAACGCCGCGUGAGUGAAGAAGUAUUUCGGUAUGUAAAGCUCUAUCAGCAGGGAAGAAGAAAGCCGGUACCUGACUAAGAAGCCCCGGCUAACUACGUGCCAGCAGCCGCGGUAAUACGUAGGGGGCAAGCGUUAUCCGGAUCUACUGGGUGUAAAGGGAGCGUAGUCGGCGAAGAAAGUCUGAAGUGAAAGCCCGCGGCUCAACCGCGGAAUGGCUUUG